rnacentral:rRNA from 1 species
GUAGUUGGAUAUCUGCUGGAAGCAAUCAGUCCGCCCUAUUUGUAGGGUGUGCACUUGAUGAAUUCUGGCAUCUAUUAUGUCCCGAUAGUAAUUCGGAGAAGGGCUAUUGAACGAAAGUUCAGUAGCUUGUGUCUCCGAUUUUAUUAUUGGGAUAAUACUGUUACUUUGAGAAAAUUAGAGUGUUUGAAGCAGGCUAAUUGCCUUGAAUACUGCAGCAUGGAAUAACAAUAUAGGAUUUCGGUUCUAUUUUGUUGGUUUCUAGGACUGAAAUAAUGAUUAAUAGGGACAGUUGGGGGCAUUCGUAUUUAACUGUCAGAGGUGAAAUUCUUAGAUUUGUUAAAGACGAACUACUGCGAAAGCAUUUGCCAAAGAUGUUUUCAUUAAUCAAGAACGAAAGUUAGGGGCUCGAAGACGAUCAGAUACCGUC